GGGAGGGGCUUCUUCUGAAGGCCUUAACUCACUUUUUUCAAUGUUUAGAGACGUAAGAGACCAAGGACAAGUUUAUGCUGACUCCCCCAGACCUGAAAACGGCGCAAACCAGGAUGUGCAAUGAUCGUGAGCAUUGCAUUUGAGAGGGAUUGCGAUAUGUUGUAUAGAAAAAAGCAACAUGUAUCAUUAUCGUAUGUUAAAUUGAAACCCUCUUCUGUUAACCAUGAAUGGUAGAAAAUACAGAGGGCAGCAGUUCAGUUGUGGAUAACAUGUAGAUUAUCACAGGAACAUACAUUAGUUCUUAGUAGUUGCGAGAGAUACAUUGUUGCUCGUUGUUGAACUUGGUUCGCAGGACUUCUAACCAAUGUAACUUUCAUCAGAAAUUUGCCAUACCAUCUAUUGUUUGAUCUGGCUUAAUCGUACUUUACAUUUUUCUUACAUACAGUAAUAGGCCUUAAAUUCUAAUAAAAGCAAUUAAACCUUUU
rnacentral:misc_RNA from 1 species